GACGAAGAGGUGUUUGGAGAAAUUGUACACGAUGGCGGAUCAGACUGAACGUUCAUUUCAAAGGCAGCCAACCAUUUUCCUAAACAGGAAGAAGGGCCUUGGCGCAAAGAAGAGAAAAUCGCUCCGUUACACGCGAAACAUUGGUUUGGGUUUUAAGACCCCUCGUGAGGUAUGUUUGUUGCCAAGAAUGUUGUGAUGACUUGCUCUAAUAGCGUUUGUUUUGUUGUAACUUUAGACCGAGAAAGCCUAUCAGAAGCAGCCUCAUCUGUUCACCUGCCGUAAGGCGUCCGCUAAAAAGAAGCCACUCAGGCGUUCCAGAAAUGUUGGUCUUGGCUUUAAGACUCCCAGAGAGGCCAUUGAUGGAACAUACAUUGACAAGAAGUGUCCUUUCACCGGCAAUGUAUCGAUUAGAGGACGCAUUUUGACCGGCGUUGUACAGAAAAUGAAAAUGCAGAGAACCAUCGUCAUUCGCCGAGAUUAUCUGCAUUACAUCAGAAAGUAUAAUCGUUUCGAGAAGAGGCAUAGGAAUAUGUCAGUUCACCUUUCGCCGUGCUUCAGAGACGUGGAGAUCGGCGAUGUGGUGACCGUUGGCGAAUGCAGACCUUUGAGCAAAACUGUCAGAUUCAAUGUAUUGAAAGUUACUAAAGGUCAAGGUUCAAAGAAAAGUUUUAAGAAAUUCUAAACAGUUUCUGUAAUGUUUCAUUAAAAAAAA
rnacentral:misc_RNA from 1 species